AUGAAGAAAGGCAAGGGAUAGUGUCUGCUCUCAAGGAGUUCAUAGCCUAAUACAGGAGACGUUAUUCAGACAAUUAUGCACAAACAAGCUACAAACAGGAAAAACUGGAGAUGACCAAUAGAGGGAAGACAUUGGCAUGGAGGAGGAAUUCCUAUAGAAGCCGACAUCAUGAUGGGCAAACCUUAAUCCACCCAAUGAAGUCCUCCAAAGAGUCUGAAACUGCUGAAGCUUCCCCACUCUCCUUCCAAGCUGGCCCACGACCUUCUGCAAGAGAAGAUGAGACUGAAUGAGCUGGACCAGUACUGUCACUAGCUAUCAUAAAGGUCCCAAGGCUGUGCUCUACUUGAGGAUGAACAUGGGAGGAGUCAUCAGCAUGGUCCAGACUGGGGUGCCCUUUAGAGAGGUCUGUGUGGUCUGGAAAUAUGUAGGCACUGAGGAGGCCGUGUGAGCCUCCCCCCCACCAAGAGCACCUAAAAUGUGACGUCCUGGGGUUGGAAUGCCCCCAACUGGAGGUGAGAGAGAUCUGCCACCAAGGAUAGAAGAAAAGAAACUAGACUUUCAUCUGGAAGAAAGACGGAAAGACAUUGUGGGAAACCAAGGAGCUGAAAGCUGACUUGAAGACUCUUGCUUGGAGAGCCCCUCUCAAAGGAGGACCUGAGAAGGCAGGAGCUCAUUCAUCUUUCACUGACUCUACCCCAUCAUUCACACAAGGCAAGGCAUUCAUCUCUAUCUACAGGGAGAAUUCUGUACCAAUAGAUUUUAGGACAGGGGUUACAACUGUAAUACAUAAUACUGAUGUGUGCUUAUGUGAUUGACUCUAAUAAAUAGAUAAUAAAAAAUUAGCUCAUAAAUGUAUUUUUAAAAG
rnacentral:lncRNA from 1 species